GAGUUUGAUCCUGGCUCAGAACGAACGCUGGCGGCAGGCUUAACACAUGCAAGUCGAACGCCCCGCAAGGGGAGUGGCAGACGGGUGAGUAACGCGUGGGAACGUACCUUUCGGUUCGGAAUAACCCAGGGAAACUUGGGCUAAUACCGGAUACGCCGGAAACGGGAAAGAUUUAUCGCCGAAGGAUCGGCCCGCGUCGGAUUAGCUAGUUGGUGGGGUAACGGCCCACCAAGGCGACGAUCCGUAGCUGGUCUGAGAGGAUGAUCAGCCACACUGGGACUGAGACACGGCCCAGACUCCUACGGGAGGCAGCAGUGGGGAAUAUUGGACAAUGGGCGCAAGCCUGAUCCAGCCAUGCCGCGUGAGUGAAGAAGGCCCUAGGGUUGUAAAGCUCUUUCAGUGGGGACGAUAAUGACGGUACCCGCAGAAGAAGCCCCGGCUAACUUCGUGCCAGCAGCCGCGGUAAUACGAAGGGGGCUAGCGUUGUUCGGAAUUACUGGGCGUAAAGCGCGCGUAGGCGGACAUCUAAGUCAGAGGUGAAAUCCCAGGGCUUAACCCUGGAACUGCCUUUGAUACUGGACGUCUGGAGUUCGGGAGAGGUGAGUGGAAUUCCGAGUGUAGAGGUGAAAUUCGUAGAUCUUC
rnacentral:rRNA from 1 species